CCCUCCCCAGAAUCAUCCUUCCCCAACUCGGCCAGUCCCGGCUCACAGCACCCGUUCUCAUGGUGAGUUCUGGGCCUGCCUUCGCCCCGGCCUCUGCUGGCACUUGUGCACCAGUACGCACCAGUACACACCAGUACACACCAGUACGCACCACUACGCAGCAGUACACACCAGUAUGCAGCAGUACACACCAGUAUGCAGCAGUACACACCAGUACGCAGCAGUAUGCAGCAGUAUGCAGCAGUACACACCAGUAUGCAGCAGUACACACCAGUAUGCAGCAGUAUGCAGCAGUAUGCAGCAGUACACACCAGUAUGCAGCAGUACACACCAGUAUGCAGCAGUAUGCAGCAGUAUGCAGCAGUACACACCAAUAUGCAGCAGUACACACCAGUAUGCAGCAGUAUGCAGCAGUAUGCAGCAGUACACAGCAGUAUGCAGCAGUACACACCAGUACGCACCAGUACGCAGCAGUACGCAGCAGUACGCAGCAGUAUGCAGCAGUACACACCAGUACACAGCAGCGAACACGGCAGUAAACAGCAGUUGCCCGCUGCCUGGGAGCCACGCUUCCCAUUUGCCCCCAGUGUGGGUGUGAGUCUGCACUGGAGGCUGGGGCCGUGCAGGGCUGUUGGCUGAGCACGCUGCAUCCACACUGCAUCACACUGCAACCAUGCUGCGUCCACGCUGCAUCACGCUGCAUCCACACUGCAUCACACUGCGUCCACGCUGCAUCCACGCUGUGUCACACUGCAUCAUGCAGCACCCACACUGCAUCCACAUUGCAUCAUGCAGCAUCCACACUGCAUCCACACUGCAUCAUGCAGCACCCACACUGCAUCCACAUUGCAUCAUGCAGCAUCCACACUGCAUCCACACUGCAUCAUGCAGCACCCACACUGCAUCACAUUGCAUCCAUGCCACAUCCACGCUGCAUCCACACAGCAUCACACUGCAUCUAUGUCACAUCCACGCUGCUUCCACACAGCAUCACGCUGCGUCCACACUGCAUUCAUGCAGCAUCGUGCUGCGUCCACGCCGCAUCCGCACAGCAUCAUGCUGCAUCCACACCACAUCCACGCCGUGUCCACGCUGCAUCCACGCUGCAUCCAUACUGCAUCCACGCAGCAUCAUGCUGCAUCCAUGCUGCAUCCACACUGUGUCCACGCUGCAUCCACACCACAUCCACACAUCAUGCCGCAUUCACGCCCCGUCCACACUGCAUCACGACGCAUCCACACUCCUCGCCCUGUGCCCCACUCUGUUCUGUGCCCCACACCUCACCCUGUGCCCCACGCCUCACCCUGUGCCCCACGCUGUUUUGUGCCUCACACCUCACCCUGUGCCCCACACUGUCCUGUGCCCCAUGCCUCGUCCUCGCCCUGUGCCCCACACCUUGUCCCGUGCCCCACACCUCACCCUGUGCCCCACACAUCGUCCUGUGCCCCACACCUCACCCUGUGCCCCACACUGUUCUGUGCCCCACACCUCGCCCUGUGCCCCACACCUCACCCUGUGCCCCAUACUGAUACUGCAUCCAUGCCGCAUCCACACAUCAUGCUGCAUCCACACCACAUCAUGUUGCAUCCGCGCCGCAUCCACACCACAUCAUGCUGCAUCCACGCUGCAUCCACACCACAUCCACACCACAUCCACACUGCAUCCACGCUGCAUCAGCUGCGUCCACGCUGCAUCACGCGUCGCCCUGUGCCCGCGCAGCUCCUGGGACAGCUGGAGAACACGGGGCCGCCGCCGGCCGACAAAGAGAAGAUCUCCUCCCUGCCGACGGUGGCGGUGACUCAGGACCAAGUCGGUGGGUGUCCGCGUUCCGGGGGGCUGAGGGGGGGCGGGGGUCGGCUCUCCGGGAGCGGCGAGGGCGGACCGAGCGGAGCCGCCUCCGAGCGCCGUGC
rnacentral:lncRNA from 1 species